rnacentral:rRNA from 1 species
AACGAACGCUGGCGGCAUGCCUAACACAUGCAAGUCGAACGAGACCUUCGGGUCUAGUGGCGCACAGGUGCGUAACGCGUGGGAACCUGCCCUUAGGUUCGGAAUAACUCCCCGAAAGGGGUGCUAAUACCGGAUAAUGUCUUCGGACCAAAGAUUUAUCGCCUUUGGAUGGGCCCGCGUUGGAUUAGCUAGUUGGUAGGGUAAAAGCCUACCAAGGCGACGAUCCAUAGCUGGUCUGAGAGGAUGAUCAGCCACACUGGGACUGGGACACGGCCCAGACUCCUACGGGAGGCAGCAGUGGGGAAUAUUGGACAAUGGGCGAAAGCCUGAUCCAGCAAUGCCGCGUGAGUGAUGAAGGCCUUAGGGUUGUAAAGCUCUUUUACUCGGGAUGAUAAUGACAGUACCGGGAGAAUAAGCUCCGGCUAACUCCGUG